rnacentral:tRNA from 1 species
GGGGGAUUAGCUCAGCUGGGAGAGCGCGGCGCUCGCAUCGCCGAGGUCGGGGGUUCGAAUCCCCUAUCCUCCA